rnacentral:tRNA from 1 species
GACAAGGUGGCUGAAGUGAAGGUGGUAGACUGUAAAUCUAUUUAUGGGGAAGUUCCUCUCUUGUCA